AGUUAAAGGUUCAAUUUUUCGGGUGACGGGUGAUAACUUGGCUUUACAUGGCCUGUUUGGCUUUGUUGAGUCUUUUAGUGCCAAUUAUUCUUGUCGCUUUUGUUUAACUGAUAAAACAGAGUUGCAGACCGUUUUUAGUGAAGAUCAUCCCGGUUUAACUUUACGUUCAGAAGACCUCCAUUCACAACACUGCAGUGCCAUUCAACAUAAUCCUGCACUAGUUCAUACAUAUGGUGUCAAAAGAACCUGCCUACUCAAUUCCCUUCAGCUGUACAAUACUUCAAACAAUUUUGCAGUUGAUAUAAUGCACGAUCUAUUGGAAGGGGUGGUGCAGUAUGAGUUGAAGCUUUUGUUUCAGUACCUGAUUAAGAACUUCAUAUCCUCAAAUUCAUUGUUGGAGAGAGUUAUGAGCUUUAACUAUGGAUACACUCAGAGAAAAAACAAACCAAGUGUGUUAAAAUUGGAUGCUAAUGGCAAAGAUCUUGGGCUCAAUGCCAUUCAGUCUUGGUGCCUUUUACGAAAUACCCCAUUAAUGUUUGGAGAUUUGAUUAGUCGAAGCGAUGACUGCUGGAACUUGCUGCUACUCCUCAUACAAAUUGUGAAUAUUGUAUUUGCACCGAGUGUAACCCAUGGUAUGACGUGCUAUUUGAAGAAUCUGAUUAUGGAUCAUCACAGACUCUUUAAAAAUCUCUUUCCAGAGCGAAAUCUGAUUCCAAAGCACCACCUAAUGAUCCAUUAUCCUCGUUGCAUCAGAAAAAUUGGGCCACUCAUUCACAUGUGGUGUAUGAGGUUUGAAGGAAAACACAACUUUUUAAAAAAAUCUUUAAAGAACUUUAAAAAUAUCACCAAAACACUAGCAAAGAAACAUCAGAACCAGUUAGCUUUUCAUUUUGAGAACUUUUAUUUCAAACGAUUUGAAUUCGGCUCUAUAAAUGAAAUCUCGGUUUGUGAUUUGGAGGGCAGUGAAGCUCUAGCUCAAACAUUUUAUGAGACUGGUCUUGUUUCCACAACCUCUUGGGUCAAAAACUAUGGUACUGAGUAUCAGGUUGGGAUGUACGUAUGCACUAGGGUCCACAAUGAGAUGCCGUUAUUCAACAGGAUUGUCAGAAUAAUUAUUUCAAAUGACAGUGCAUAUCUUCUCACUUGUAAAGUCUCAAAGUUGUAUUUUGAUGACCAUCUAAAUGCGUUUGCAAUCGAGGAAAACCGUUAUUGCUUCACAUUGGUUUGUAUUGACGAUCUUUUUUACUACAGACCGUAUGACCGCCAGUUUGCCAAUGACUGAGCUAAUGUACAUUGUGCCGUACAGUGUUAUAAUCAAUUGUUAAACAUCUUUGUUGGAGGGGG
rnacentral:lncRNA from 1 species